ensembl:snRNA U6 U6 spliceosomal RNA
GUGCUUGCUUCGGCAGCACAUACACUAAAAUUGGAACAAUAUAGAGAAUAUUAAUGUGGCCCCUGCGCAAGGAUGACACACAAAUUUGUGAAGCGUUCCAUAUUUUA